rnacentral:rRNA from 1 species
AGAGCGAACGCUGGCGGCAGGCCUAAUACAUGCAAGUCGAACGGAUCCUUCGGGAUUAGUGGCGGACGGGUGAGUAACACGUGGGAACGUGCCCUUUGGUUCGGAACAACUCAGGGAAACUUGAGCUAAUACCGGAUGUGCCCUUCGGGGGAAAGAUUUAUCGCCAUUGGAGCGGCCCGCGUCUGAUUAGCUAGUUGGUGGGGUAAAGGCCUACCAAGGCUACGAUCAGUAGCUGGUCUGAGAGGAUGAUCAGCCACACUGGGACUGAGACACGGCCCAGACUCCUACGGGAGGCAGCAGUAGGGAAUCUUGCGCAAUGGGCGAAAGCCUGACGCAGCCAUGCCGCGUGAAUGAUGAAGGUCUUAGGAUUGUAAAAUUCUUUCAGCGGGACGAUAAUGACGGUACCGCAGAAGAACGCCCGGCUAACUUCGUGCCAGCAGCCGC